UCUGGUCUUGUCAGUCUCUACGUGAGUAGCUACCAUUCAGGCUCCCUUAGUGGUGACCUCGGGUAUGAAGCGCUAUCCGCUUUCUCCAGCUUUCUCCAGCUUUCUCCAGCUUUCUCCAGAACAGAGGAAAGGACUCGACUGUUAACUGUGUUCGUACCCUUUGAACUGUUGGUGCCAUCCCUGCUCAGGCGGACAGCUACGAGGGACUUUCUAGGCCAGUGGAUCUCAACCAGGGCGGCGCGGAGCGAUCGGAAGGAAGGAGUCUCCAGUGUCAGAAGUAAAGUGAUGGAACCAGACCGAGCUGGCUGUCCCUUUAUAAUGCAAUAAAUUACUUACAAUGUUCUAACAUCUUUAGGCAACAGGUUACUCCUCCAGAACUCAACAAGAAUCAUGUGAGCUUUUAACCAGUUUCAGAAAACCACUGGUGUGACUUACACAUUAUUAUUAUUAUUAUUAUUAUUAUUAUUAUUAUUAUUAACAUUUUGUCAGGGCAAAAUUUGCUGUUUGAUUACACACCCUGCUGAAAAAAUAAAUAAAAUAAAAAUCA
ensembl:lncRNA